GGGGUUGUGGCUCAUUGGGAGAGUGCUUGCCUGACAUGCAUGAGGGCCUAGGUUGGAUCCCUAGCACCA
rnacentral:tRNA from 1 species